rnacentral:rRNA from 1 species
AGUGAACGCUGGCGGUAGGCCUAACACAUGCAAGUCGAACGGCAGCACAGUAAGAGCUUGCUCUUACAGGUGGCGAGUGGCGGACGGGUGAGGAAUACAUCGGAAUCUACUUUUUCGUGGGGGAUAACGUAGGGAAACUUACGCUAAUACCGCAUACGACCUACGGGUGAAAGCAGGGGAUCUUCGGACCUUGCGCGAUUGAAUGAGCCGAUGUCGGAUUAGCUAGUUGGCGGGGUAAAGGCCCACCAAGGCGACGAUCCGUAGCUGGUCUGAGAGGAUGAUCAGCCACACUGGAACUGAGACACGGUCCAGACUCCUACGGGAGGUAGCAGUGGGGAAUAUUGGACAAUGGGCGCAAGCCUGAUCCAGCCAUACCGCGUGGGUGAAGAAGGCCUUCGGGUUGUAAAGCCCUUUUGUUGGGAAAGAAAAGCAGCAGGUUAAUACCCCGCUGUUCUGACGGUACCCAAAGAAUAAGCACCGGCUAACUUCGUG